rnacentral:rRNA from 1 species
ACUAAGCGUACACGGUGGAUGCCCUGGCAGUCAGAGGCGAUGAAGGACGUGCUAAUCUGCGAUAAGCGUCGGUAAGGUGAUAUGAACCGUUAUAACCGGCGAUUUCCGAAUGGGGAAACCCAGUGUGAUUCGUCACACUAUCAUUAACUGAAUCCAUAGGUUAAUGAGGCGAACCGGGGGAACUGAAACAUCUAAGUACCCCGAGGAAAAGAAAUCAACCGAGAUUCCCCCAGUAGCGGCGAGCGAACGGGGAGCAGCCCAGAGCCUGAAUCAGUGUGUGUGUUAGUGGAAGCGUCUGGAAAGGCGCGCGAUACAGGGUGACAGCCCCGUACACAAAAAUGCACAUACUGUGAGCUCGAUGAGUAGGGCGGGACACGUGGUAUCCUGUCUGAAUAUGGGGGGACCAUCCUCCAAGGCUAAAUACUCCUGACUGACCGAUAGUGAACCAGUACCGUGAGGGAAAGGCGAAAAGAACCCCGGCGAGGGGAGUGAAAAAGAACCUGAAACCGUGUACGUACAAGCAGUGGGAGCCUCUUUAUGGGGUGACUGCGUACCUUUUGUAUAAUGGGUCAGCGACUUAUAUUCUGUAGCAAGGUUAACCGAAUAGGGGAGCCGAAGGGAAACCGAGUCUUAACUGGGCGUUAAGUUGCAGGGUAUAGACCCGAAACCCGGUGAUCUAGCCAUGGGCAGGUUGAAGGUUGGGUAACACUAACUGGAGGACCGAACCGACUAAUGUUGAAAAAUUAGCGGAUGACUUGUGGCUGGGGGUGAAAGGCCAAUCAAACCGGGAGAUAGCUGGUUCUCCCCGAAAGCUAUUUAGGUAGCGCCUCGUGAAUUCAUCUCCGGGGGUAGAGCACUGUUUCGGCAAGGGGGUCAUCCCGACUUACCAACCCGAUGCAAACUGCGAAUACCGGAGAAUGUUAUCACGGGAGACACACGGCGGGUGCUAACGUCCGUCGUGAAGAGGGAAACAACCCAGACCGCCAGCUAAGGUCCCAAAGUCAUGGUUAAGUGGGAAACGAUGUGGGAAGGCCCAGACAGCCAGGAUGUUGGCUUAGAAGCAGCCAUCAUUUAAAGAAAGCGUAAUAGCUCACUGGUCGAGUCGGCCUGCGCGGAAGAUGUAACGGGGCUAAACCAUGCACCGAAGCUGCGGCAGCGACACUAUGUGUUGUUGGGUAGGGGAGCGUUCUGUAAGCCUGCGAAGGUGUACUGUGAGGUAUGCUGGAGGUAUCAGAAGUGCGAAUGCUGACAUAAGUAACGAUAAAGCGGGUGAAAAGCCCGCUCGCCGGAAGACCAAGGGUUCCUGUCCAACGUUAAUCGGGGCAGGGUGAGUCGACCCCUAAGGCGAGGCCGAAAGGCGUAGUCGAUGGGAAACAGGUUAAUAUUCCUGUACUUGGUGUUACUGCGAAGGGGGGACGGAGAAGGCUAUGUUGGCCGGGCGACGGUUGUCCCGGUUUAAGCGUGUAGGCUGGUUUUCCAGGCAAAUCCGGAAAAUCAAGGCUGAGGCGUGAUGACGAGGCACUACGGUGCUGAAGCAACAAAUGCCCUGCUUCCAGGAAAAGCCUCUAAGCAUCAGGUAACAUCAAAUCGUACCCCAAACCGACACAGGUGGUCAGGUAGAGAAUACCAAGGCGCUUGAGAGAACUCGGGUGAAGGAACUAGGCAAAAUGGUGCCGUAACUUCGGGAGAAGGCACGCUGAUAUGUAGGUGAAGUCCCUCGCGGAUGGAGCUGAAAUCAGUCGAAGAUACCAGCUGGCUGCAACUGUUUAUUAAAAACACAGCACUGUGCAAACACGAAAGUGGACGUAUACGGUGUGACGCCUGCCCGGUGCCGGAAGGUUAAUUGAUGGGGUUAGCGGUAACGCGAAGCUCUUGAUCGAAGCCCCGGUAAACGGCGGCCGUAACUAUAACGGUCCUAAGGUAGCGAAAUUCCUUGUCGGGUAAGUUCCGACCUGCACGAAUGGCGUAAUGAUGGCCAGGCUGUCUCCACCCGAGACUCAGUGAAAUUGAACUCGCUGUGAAGAUGCAGUGUACCCGCGGCAAGACGGAAAGACCCCGUGAACCUUUACUAUAGCUUGACACUGAACAUUGAGCCUUGAUGUGUAGGAUAGGUGGGAGGCUUUGAAGUGUGGACGCCAGUCUGCAUGGAGCCGACCUUGAAAUACCACCCUUUAAUGUUUGAUGUUCUAACGUUGGCCCCUGAUCGGGGUUGCGGACAGUGUCUGGUGGGUAGUUUGACUGGGGCGGUCUCCUCCUAAAGAGUAACGGAGGAGCACGAAGGUUGGCUAAUCCUGGUCGGACAUCAGGAGGUUAGUGCAAUGGCAUAAGCCAGCUUGACUGCGAGCGUGACGGCGCGAGCAGGUGCGAAAGCAGGUCAUAGUGAUCCGGUGGUUCUGAAUGGAAGGGCCAUCGCUCAACGGAUAAAAGGUACUCCGGGGAUAACAGGCUGAUACCGCCCAAGAGUUCAUAUCGACGGCGGUGUUUGGCACCUCGAUGUCGGCUCAUCACAUCCUGGGGCUGAAGUAGGUCCCAAGGGUAUGGCUGUUCGCCAUUUAAAGUGGUACGCGAGCUGGGUUUAGAACGUCGUGAGACAGUUCGGUCCCUAUCUGCCGUGGGCGCUGGAGAACUGAGGGGGGCUGCUCCUAGUACGAGAGGACCGGAGUGGACGCAUCACUGGUGUUCGGGUUGUCAUGCCAAUGGCACUGCCCGGUAGCUAAAUGCGGAAGAGAUAAGUGCUGAAAGCAUCUAAGCACGAAACUUGCCCCGAGAUGAGUUCUCCCUGACUCCUUGAGAGUCCUGAAGGAACGUUGAAGACGACGACGUUGAUAGGCCGGGUGUGUAAGCGCAGCGAUGCGUUGAGCUAACCGGUACUAAUGAACCGUGAGGCUUAACC